AUCUGAGUGCUGGAAUGGUAGACAGUGGUUACUUAAGAUAACCUGGGCAAGUCCCGUGAGUGUUCAAGUCACUCUUCAGAUA
rnacentral:tRNA from 1 species